CUUCUUUAUCUGUUGGCUGCCAUUUUUCUGGAACCGUUUACUUUUUUUCUUCUGUGACAUGAAACAACUCAUACGACUAGGUCGAGUUUGGGAAGGCAUUUACAAUACAUGUCUCAUAACCAACUGGCUCAGUAUCAUCUUAAAUCCUCUCCUCUUUAGCCUCAUGUCAUCUAAAUUCAGAAAAGCUUUAAAAAUGCUGUGGAAAACCAAAUUCAAAAGGCAGACUGAAAUCGUUUUAUCGUAAAAGUAAUUAGUAUAUUAUAUACGUGAAGAUAUGAUUAAUUUUUUAUGUUAUAUGUAGGCAUGUGCUAUAUUUUUCAUACUGUGCUGUAAAAUACUUGUACUUAUAAUAGGUAAAAGUUUAUUGUAAUAUAAAAACAUCAGAUGAAUCAAGAUAGUGUAGUGGGUAGACAUAUACUGUUAGAAAAAUAAACGAAGAUCAAGGCUAAUAAUAAUAA